rnacentral:lncRNA from 1 species
CAGGGCUGCAAAUGCAGGGAAAGCAUCUUGAGGAAGAUGUGGGUGUUAAGAAGGUCUGGGAAGAGCAGAUUUACUUAUUUGAGAGGAAGAGUGAGCACAAGUCAGGGGAGGAGCAGAGGGAAAGAGUCUUCAAGCAGACUCCCUGUUGA